CUGGAGCUGAUAGGGACUGGUGGAGCUGUUGGAUGUCUGCAGGAACUGAGUACAAGACUUUAGUCCUACGGUAAAGACUGUGUGUGUGACUUGGCCGGAGGGCUGAAUCACCAAAACCGCCUGAGAAACCACUGACAGGAGUCCCCCACCCAGCCAGGGGGUGCUCACAGGCACCCGUUUACUUUCUCAGUUUCCAUCUGUAUCCAGAGGACACACUGCUCCUUCCCACUGCUUAUUAUGCUGGAUGCAAGUGUAAUGCUGCUUGUCUCUGAAGGAAAAGGAUGUUGACUGGCUUCUUCCUUUCUAUCCUCGAGAGAUCAGGAUCAAUUGCUUCCCUCAUCACUUAGAAUGACAGACUGCUGGUUGCAAUCAAUCCUUUGAAUUUGCAGCGGUAUCUCGCUAGGAAUUGCAAAUAAGAAGACUUCAGCAGUACUUACGGUGACUAAUCUUAGUAAAGCCCUGAUGUCCUUUUUUGUAUGAAAUAGAAACUCUAGCUUACCAGCUAACUCUGCCUGAGGUUCCUCCUUCAAUGAAGCCUGGGGAAAGAGCUGGACAUUGUUUAUACAGGUGCUGCCCAGAAGAAAAGCGUACUCUUUCAAGCCUGGAGAGAAACAGAGUUAGCCGGCUGGAGAGAAUCCCAGUUUAUGCUGGGUGCUGCUAUUUAAUGGAAGAAUUAGUAGACCUGUCUUCUUCUGACCUUGGCCCUAUGUCUCCAGUGUGGAGCAGAAAUGGAGUCACUGAGUUUUCUCUUCCAAACUCAGCUAAAUUUUAAUGAGCUCCCUUCCAAGAUCCCUGAAGUUUUCAAUAAGCUGUGAACUUCCACACGAUGUCAUAUCAUAUAGAGAAUCCACCACAUCCUUACUUUUUCAACAGCCUUUUGAAGAGUGGAUACCAGAAAUAGACACAGCAUUCCGGUCUUGGUCUCAUAAUGCCAUGUAUAGAGGCGGUUCGCUCAAUGUCUGCUGUGCCAGCUGUCUGCACAGAGCUGGGGCAGUACACAGGGAGAAUACACAUAUGCAGCCGAACAUCUAACCACACUGGUGACCCCCGACUACUGAUCUGUGAAGAAUGACACCCGGUGUGACAACAAUCACAGUAUGACACCUGGUGUGACAACAUGGACGUUGGGGCAGAGUGUGUCUUGAGUCACAAUUGUGGGCAAGGGCUGGUGGAUACACUGGACCACCCCAGGAGUAGCCUGGAGAAAGACCUCGGAGUCAGUAUUCCAUCCUUGCUGCUGUGAUCAUUAACUGUUGGUCUAUUCCAGUGCUAAGCUAUUACCUGUGCUAGCUCAGUUACCCAGGCCAAUGAAAGGGAGCUUCUUGGAGCCAAAACUUGACCCAUUCUCUGACCCUCCCUCUCUACUCUCUUCCUACCCACUUUGGCGGGGAGGGUAUCCCUGCUGUCUCCAGGGCACAUGCUCCACAGGUCUGAGUAGACCACAGUGAUGGGAAGAACUGUUGCUCCCUUGCAGAAGGGUGUAGUCUGAGUCGCAAUCCAGCCCAUACAAUACAUUUAAACGGUACAUCGUGUCUAUAGAGACAACAGUGGCAGUUGUUCAAAAAGCUUGAGCCAGGCUUGUGUGCAUGUUUAAGGGGACUGCCAGGAAUACUGUGUGGUGUAUAGCCUGAAAUAGGUUUCUAUUGCUAAUCCACGUGUGUAGUGUUGCAUGACUGAGUACAUUGCAAACAGGGAGUGAAGCUUAAAAAUGAAUCUAGGCUUUGCCCCGCCCCCCCCCACCAAAAAAAGUUCAAAGCCAUAUGCAUGCAAAUUUAAUUCCAAUCAGGCAAUUUUAGAUAUGAAAGUGAUGACGUGUCUUAUUUACACUUAAUGCCACUCUGGCAGCAUAAAGGGACCUUAAAGUGGAUAGAAAUAGCCCCUUGACAGUACCAUGUGCAGAGUGUCUCCCAACUGGUGUGAAACUAGCAUAAAGGCUCUUUGCUAUAAUCUGGGAGUAAGGCUAACAGAGUGGGCAUGCUCAGGGUGGGAUGGAGGCUGCGAGAGAUAAGGAGUGGAUGGGUCAGAGUGCACUGCACUGUGGCUAUUCUUUGCUUUCUACUGUCCAUAGGGACAAAUGAGAAGGAGAGCAUAAAUCAGAAGUAUCACAGUUCAGGGCAACUGCAUCUCUAUUCCCCAUCUGUGGUGCCACAGGGCACCCACUUUUAGGAUCAUGGCUUCUCAGCCAUCACCUCUCUUGGGUGGAGACAUGCAUCUCUCUCCCUCCUGACAGGGUUAUUUCCAGGCUGUGCCGUUCCCUGCCUACACUGUGAAUUCCCCAGCAAGUCAGAUUGUCUCAGCUGGUCUGCUUUGCCUUCUCCUCGGAGGCUACAAACAGCAUAAUUACCCAUAGGUAAUUCUAUGCAAGCCCUUUCUAUGCAAACACAUUUUUUCUUAUGGUGAAAACAUUAAAAACAAUAAAAAACUACACACAUGCUAAUAAGCUUACCAGAGAUCACCCCCCAACUCCAACAAGGACUCUGGCAGGUGGUCAGUUCUUCAAACCCCUCAUGGGGGAUUUUCUGUAGUUACAAGUUCAUAACACCUUUUGAUCAGAAUGAGAGCCCCUGUGACUCACUCCUUUAUACAGUUUGGGUCUCUGAUCUUGUCCUCAUUUAAUAGGUGAUCAGGUUUCCUCCGCAGGGUGACGCUUCAAAAGGCUGAGUUCUUACGUAACCAGAAGAGGGUACAUUUGCUUACACCUUCCUCUAGAGAUUUCUUGGGAAACUCACUUAACUUUAAAGUUCAUUCUUGUCUGGCCCAUGGUUUCAAAUAGUUCUUUAAAGUUCUUAAUGCUUCCCAGUGGUUACUUUAGUCACAUCUGCCCCCUGGAGACAUUUAUAUACAAUCCCAUUAUAAUGCAUAAGAUUUGCAUUUGUGUUUUUAAUACAGUGAUACAAAAAUCCUUCAACAUAAUUCAUUAAGCCAGGAUAUUGUAGGAAAUUGACAUGUUUGUCACAAGAAGUAUCUCCUAACCGUGCAUCUUAAUUGUUCGUAUAUGUGUAUGAUAGUUCCUAGUUCACAUAAAGGUUAUUCAGCGCUAGACUCAGACAUACAUUUACAUUUUGAAGAUGCCAAAGUAUCAAUUACCUUUCCAGCAAAAUGGCCAGUUAAUUUAGAAGGGAAGGAAGCAUUUACUUACUGACUUCAAUGCAAAAAAUGAUUUGUACUGUGAAUUUCUGCAAAGCAUUGCCAGAUUGUCGAUCAUAAGGAGAAAUCAGGGUUGGUGCAGAGUUCCUGAGUGGAGAAAGUUUGAGAACCCCUCCUCUGUAACAAUCUAUUAUAUAUAAUCGUGAUGAUCAAAUUGCUGAGGUUGAAGAUGACAUUGAGCUCCAAAGACUGCUUACUUCUCACAGUUUUAAUGGACACUGCCCUUUAUUUCUGACAAAGUAGAAUCAGGUCUUUAUCUACCUAAGGUACUUCUCUGGCCCACUUUUCCUUAAUAUCUGAGCAUAUUACAAUCUUUAAUUUAUCCUCAUAGCACCCCCUGUGAGCUAGGGAAGUACUCGUAUCUCCAUUUUACCAGUGGGGAACCGAUGCCCAGAGAGCAAGAUCCUCAAAGGUAUUUAGGCUCCUAACUUCCAUUGAUUUCAAUGGAAACAGAAGGUCGGAGCCUCAAUUCCUUUGAGGAUCAAGGCCUAAGUGACUUGUCCAAGGUCACACAGGAAGGUGGUGGCAGAGCAGAGCCUUGAAGCCGGGACUUUCAAGUCUUAGCCUUGACCCUAGCUACUGGAUCAUCCCACCUCUCUCUCAAUGGAUUUACACAUGGGAAUUUUUCUGCUUUGAAAUGCAUUGGGUAAUCUCUGUAGGCCAGUAUCAUACAUAUGGAUUUCUGUGUUAAGAUGGAUUUUUGGUUUGGUGGUUCUCUUUUCAAUAUUGACGAUAAUGUGUUUGUUUAUGUAAACCCCUAGAUAACAAGUUUAUAUAUAAUAGACUAAUUGUCAUGAUUAACGGUUUAAAUGUAACCUUUCCCCCAAAGAGGUUGUGGUACAUACUUGUAAACUACUUCUUGUUUUUCCACUUUGUAGUGAAAAAAGAGACUUCUGGUCUUAAAGGAGGAGAACUGAGGUCCCUGUUUCACUACAGGAUGAAAGCAAGGACUGAAAUCCAGCCUCCACUUGAGAAACGUGCUUGGUCUCCUCCUAGGUUAAAACUUUUCACUACACAGACACCAACUUUAUUCUUUCUGGGUGGGUGCUCCACCCUCACUGCACCCUGUGGCCAUGCCCCCAUGCUACCCCUUCCCCAAGGCCCCAUGCUCGCUCUACCUCUUCCCUUCCCACCCCCACUCCGCCCCCGAGCAUGCCCUGUCCUCGUGCCGCCUCUUCCAGCCCCCACGCCACCCCUUCCCCCAGGACCUACUGAACAGCUGCUCGGUGGGUGGCUGGUGGCACCCACUGUUUUUUUUCCCUGUGGGUGUUCCAGCCCUGGAGCACCCACAGAGUCAGCGCCUAUGUUUCAUUAUAUCAGAUGAGUCCUCAUUCUUGAGGGGCAGGAGCCCACAUUAUCAUGUGAAAUUAAUUGAUGGGAUUAUAAAGGAGGCUCACAGUAAUCGCUAGGACUGUUUUAAAGUUAAAAGUUGAACUGCAUAUCUGCACAUUGUCACCAGACUGCAUAUGCUACAGCAACCCCAAGGCCUGAUUUCUGUGCUCACUGGCACAGCUUUACACCUGUGUUACUCCAGAGAUGUAAGUGGAAUUACUUGUAUUGUACACCCAAGUUAAUGAGAGCACAAUCAGGGUGCACUGAAAGACUGAUGUGGAAACCAGGAGGAAAACAGGGCUUUAUCCCAAACGUCCUAUUAGGUUUAUUAUACCAGUAAGCUCAUUUUUGUUUUACCUACUCAGCACUUUCUACAGUGUGCAUAAACAUUCCUACCGCCCCCUUAAAUUCAAGCAAAUUAAGGGCACAUAUUGAACAUAUGUUAUUAAUAUAUCAGCUCUACUUUCUAAUUCCUAAUUCAAGCUUGAAAUUGAUUAAAACUGCUAAUCCUUGACAAGGCUACAAAAAUUUAUGCUAAUUUACUGACAUGCUCUUUUCAGAAACUUUGCGUUUCUUGUUUAUAAAUUAAAUUUAAAUAGAACAUCCAAGGGCCUUCCUAAUUUAGCAUGGAGGGGGCCAGGAUUUACAUGAUGAAACGCUACAUGCCCUUGAGCUUACUGUACAGUAGAGAUGAGAAGAGCUGACAUUACAGUUUCCUAAGGUUGGGGAAAGAGAUGAGGGUGUCAUUAAGAUUUUAAGUAGGUUUCAUUAGCUUCUCUUAGCCUUAUGGCAAAGCUAGAUACAAGGGCAACCAUGACAGAAGGCACAGCAAGAGCAACCUGAAUUUCACUCGACAGUGCAGAGAGUUGUAAAUGUCACCCUCUUUCUCACGGGGGGGGUUCAGCAGUUAAGCCCCCUAAGGCAGUGAGCUGGCUUCCAUUGGGGGAUUCACGAGGGUAAGGCAAUGUUAGGGUGGCAUUUUGGUGUCAUACUGCCACAGAAGGGGAUCACCGGGAAGCAUUGUGGUAGAAGGCGUGGUGCACAUGGGGAGGGUGCAUGCUGCUAUACCCCUGUACGGGGUGCCGCACAGUCUCAUCCCCCACACCAUCCUACAUACCCAGCCAGCUCUGCCGGGCAGCCCAUAGUGGAAUGGCCAUGGCUCCACCCUCUCCCUCCCUGCCUCCUUUGGCCCUCCUCAGGAACUUGAAUUUUGCAGGGGGCUAAUGGGCUGUGCAAGGGGGAAGAAAGGCUGUUUACUUUCUCCCAUCCCCCCUGCACUCUGCAUCCCAUAAAUCCAGGCAGAGAUUGGUCUUUCAUCCAUACUGGUAAUACUGUCUCAUAUCCUAUCAUGUGUCCAUUGUAUUGAAAGAGAAUUUAUAAAUGCCUCAGUCUGCCACCAGACCCAGAGGAAGUGUCAGGUGAACAGUGCCAAUGACACAUAAUGGCAGGUUUCAGAGUAGCAUCCAUGUUAGUCUGUAUCCGCAAAAAGAACAGUAGCUCACGAAAGCUUAUGCUCUAAUAAAUUUGUUAGUCUCUAAGGUGCCACAAGUCCUCCUUUUCUUUUAAUGACACAUAAAUGUAACAAUCUCUUUAGGUUGGUAUUUGCUUCCUGUGCCUUCAUCCUUCAUUCUGCUACUGUUCAUGGCUGUGGAGCACCAUAUGCAAUGAGCACUGUGUAAACCUACAUUGAUUCAGAUGGUGUGUUAAUUGCUAGAGUGAGAAACCCUUUCUUAUUCAUUUUUUGUCUUGUGAAUGGGAAUCUGCAUCAGUUACACACUGCAGGAGUUGGAGAAGGAAACAAGGAUGUUUACACGAACGUAAAGUGCUAGAUAGCUUUUGCAGCAUGAAGGUCAGGGCUGUGCAAAAGUAUGAAGGCCCUGUUCUGCCACCAUUAGUCUCCCAGAGUAGUACAUGGAAUCCCACUAAAAUCAAUGGGACUAAUCAGCGAGUAAGUUGCAACUGCUCAUCAGGAGUUAGAGAGGUGGAAUCAUAUCUUUAGCGACUCUGAAAACAAAGAGCCUGAUUCUUAUUACUAUUACUCAUAGUGAGUAGUACUUGCAUUUAGUCCUGCGCCCACUUAAGUCAACUGCAAUCUUCCCAUUCAUUUAUGGCGGAUUUUUCAAAAGUCUCUAGGCAACUUAGGAACACAAGUCCAAUUGAUCCAAUUCACAUAAGCAUUUUGUAAAUCCCUCCCUUAAUUGGUACAGGAUCCAGCCCCAUGGUACCUCUCAAUGUAAGUAGCAGGGACAGACUGCAACAUAAUAUUUUCAAGGUUCAACCCUAUGUCUGUUGCAGUCAAUGAGGAGUCUAGCUGUUGACUUCUGGGAAGUGGUGGACCAGGCUCUACUUCUGCAAAUUUUAAGAUGGGUUUAAGCCAGUAGACUCCUGUCAUAAAUUGAUCAGAAACACACAGCUAAAUCUCCCUUAAAUCUUUUUCAACUACCUCCGCCCUUCAUCCCUGAAUUGUGAAAUCUUUGGAUGUUCUUUUUACUCAAAACAUGUCAUCUGCAGAAAAAUAAAUAACCCAAA